rnacentral:rRNA from 1 species
CCUUGAAAGAGUGCGUAAUAGCUCACUGGUCAAGUGAUUCCGCGCCGACAAUGUAGCGGGGCUCAAGUACACCGCCGAAGUUGUGGAUUUCAGAUAGUAGCCAAGCCGCUCCCUUGUGGGGUUGGUUCAGGCGUCUGGAGUGGUAGGGGAGCGUCGUGUGGGCAGUGAAGUCGCGGUGUAAACCAGCGGUGGAGCCUACACGAGUGAGAAUGCAGGCAUGAGUAGCGAAAGACGGGUGAGAAACCCGUCCGCCGAAUGAUCAAGGGUUCCAGGGUCAAGCUAAUCUGCCCUGGGUAAGUCGGGACCUAAGGCGAGGCCGACAGGCGUAGUCGAUGGACAACGGGUUGAUAUUCCCGUACCGGCGAAAAACCGUCCAUGCUGAACAGGGGAUACUAACCGCCCGAGACCUGCCCGGCCACCCUUGUGGUGACCCGGGUUUUGGUGGAGCGCGGGACCUGAUCCUGGGAGGCAAGCGUAUUAACAGGUGUGACGCAGGAAGGUAGCCGAGCCGGGCGAUGGUUGUCCCGGUCUAAGGAUGUAGGGCGAACGGUAGGCAAAUCCGCCGUUCAUGAUGCCUGAGAUCUGAUGGGACUCCCGUAAGGGGGGAUUCGGUGAUCCUAUGCUGCCGAGAAAAGCAUCGACGCGAGGUUUUAGCCGCCCGUACCCCAAACCGACACAGGUGAUCAGGUAGAGAAUACUAAGGCGAUCGAGAGAAUUAUGGUUAAGGAACUCGGCAAAAUGCCCCCGUAACUUCGGGAGAAGGGGGGCCCCCAUCGUGAUGGACACUAGCUGUCCGGAGCGUGCAGGGGCCGCAGAGACCAGGGGGAAGCGACUGUUUACUAAAAACACAGGUCCGUGCGAAGUCGCAAGACGAUGUAUACGGACUGACUCCUGCCCGGUGCUGGAAGGUUAAGAGGACCGGUUAGCCGCAAGGCGAAGCUGAGAAUUCAAGCCCCAGUAAACGGCGGUGGUAACUAUAACCAUCCUAAGGUAGCGAAAUUCCUUGUCGGGUAAGUUCCGACCUGCACGAAUGGAGUAACGACUUCCCCGCUGUCUCAACCAUAAACUCGGCGAAAUUGCAGUACGAGUAAAGAUGCUCGUUACGCGCAGCAGGACGGAAAGACCCCGAGACCUUUACUAUAGUUUGGUAUUGGUGUUCGGAGUGGCUUGUGUAGGAUAGGUGGGAGACGUUGAAGCCCGGACGCCAGUUCGGGUGGAGUCAUCGUUGAAAUACCACUCUGGUCACUUUGGACAUCUAACUUCGGCCCGUAAUCCGGGUCAGGGACAGUGCCUGAUGGGUAGUUUAACUGGGGCGGUUGCCUCCUAAAAAGUAACGGAGGCGCCCAAAGGUUCCCUCAACCUGGACGGCAAUCAGGUGUUGAGUGUAAGUGCACAAGGGAGCUUGACUGCGAGACAUACAUGUCGAGCAGGGACGAAAGUCGGGACUAGUGAUCCGGCACCUCUGAGUGGAAGGGGUGUCGCUCAACGGAUAAAAGGUACCCCGGGGAUAACAGGCUGAUCUUCCCCAAGAGUCCAUAUCGACGGGAUGGUUUGGCACCUCGAUGUCGGCUCGUCGCAUCCUGGGGCUGGAGCAGGUCCCAAGGGUUGGGCUGUUCGCCCAUUAAAGCGGCACGCGAGCUGGGUUUAGAACGUCGUGAGACAGUUCGGUCUCUAUCCGCCGCGCGCGUCAGAAGCUUGAGGAAACCUGUCCCUAGUACGAGAGGACCGGGACGGACGAACCUCUGGUCUACCAGUUGUCCCACCAGGGGCACCGCUGGAUAGCUACGUUCGGACAGGAUAACCGCUGAAAGCAUCUAAGCGGGAAACCUUCUCCAAGACCAGGCUUCUCACCCUUUUAGAGGGAUAAGGCCCCCCGCAGACCACGGGAUCGAUAGACCAGACCUAGAAACCCAGCAAUGGGCGCAGGGAACUGGCACUAACCGGCCGAAAACUUACACAC